CUGCUGCUAAGUCGCUUCAGUCGUGUCCGACUCUGUGCGACCCCAUAGACGGCAGCCCACCAGGCUCCCCCUGUCCCUGGGAUUCUCCAAGCAAGAACACUGAAAUGGGUUGCCAUUCCCUUCUCCAAUGCAUGAAAGUGGAAAGUGAAAGUGAAGUCGCUCAGUCAUGUCCGACUCUUCGAGACCCCGUGGACUGCAGCCUACUAGGCUCCUCCGUUCACGGGAUUUUCCAGGAGGCAUGCGGGGCCGGACUGUGGACCCUCGGACCAUUUACCCAGUGUUGCCGAAACUCCUUUCCCUCCUGCCCCUGUCCUGUCAGAAGCUACUUCCCUGAAGAGCCCGCAGCCAGGACCUCUCCUUGGAAGCUGCUAUAUAUCCAAAGAAGAUGAACAACGGGAUGCUGAGGGGCAGCAGAGACCAGGAGGCCAUGGCUGUGACUGAGGAACGCCCCGCCCAGACGAUCAGCCCCACCUUCAUCCUCCAGGAGACCUCACUGUGAUCCUGACCCGGGACCCUCUGUCCACAUUCUGCCAGGCACACCCUGCCCCCCAUUACCUCAAGCCCCUUGUCUCGAAGGCCAGGACUGAAUCACUGUGUCCGCCCCAGGCAGAGUGUAGAGUUGUCACAUACAGGGUCAGGGGGAUGAGGUGAGAGCUUUU
ensembl:lncRNA